ACGGCGUGGAUCAGCGGCGGUGACGAGGCAAGAGGGAACCCGGUGGGAAUCCGGGACUGCCCCGCAGCGGUGAGCGGGAACGAACUCCGUCACCGUCCUCACAGCGAGGACGGUCACAGCACUGGAGGUCCGGCCUCCGGGAAGCGACGGACAGUAGGUCAGCCGACCUCGACGGUCGGAAGCGCCCGUGAGUCCGAAGACCUGCCGUCGGCGGCGCGGUCCC
rnacentral:ncRNA from 2 species